rnacentral:rRNA from 1 species
UACGUACCGUCCAAACGUUAUUCGGAAUUACUGGGCUUAAAGGGUAUGUAGGCGGCGCUGUUAGUCGGGUGUGAAAUCCCACGGCUCAACCGUGGAACUGCGCCCGAUACUGCAGUGCUUGAGGGAGACAGAGGUAAGCGGAACUGAUGGUGGAGCGGUGAAAUGCGUUGAUAUCAUCAGGAACACCGGUGGCGAAAGCGGCUUACUGGGUCUCUUCUGACGCUGAGAGUACGAAAGCUAGGGGAGCGAAGGGG